GACCCGAAAGAUAGCGAUCCACACCCAGCCGGGACGAAACCAGCGGAAAUUCCGGUGGAAGUCCGAAGCGCCUCUGACAUGCAAAUCGAUCGUCGGAACCGGGUGUAGGCGCAAAAGACCAAUUGCAAUGUCUAGUAGCUGG
rnacentral:ncRNA from 1 species